rnacentral:rRNA from 1 species
AAUAGAUACCCAGGUAGUCCACACCGUAAACGUUGGGCGCUAGGUGUGGGACUCUUCCACGAGUUCCGUGCCGCAGCUAACGCAUUAAGCGCCCCGCCUGGGGAGUACGGCCGCAAGGCUAAAACUCAAAGGAAUUGACGGGGGCCCGCGACAAGCGGCGGAGCAUGCGGAUUAAUUCGAUGCAACGCGAAGAACCUUACCUGGGUUUGACAUAUAGGGAAAUCUCCCAGAGAUGGGAGGUCCGCAAGGGCUCUAUACAGGUGGUGCAUGGCUGUCGUCAGCUCGUGUCGUGAGAUGUUGGGUUAAGUCCCGCAACGAGCGCAACCCUCGUCUUAUGUUGCCAGCACGUAAUGGUGGGGACUCAUAAGAGACUGCCGGGGUCAACUCGGAGGAAGGUGGGGAUGACGUCAAGUCAUCAUGCCCCUUAUGUCCAGGGCUUCACGCAUGCUACAAUGGCCGGUACAAAGGGCUGCGAUAUCGCAAGAUGGAGCGAAUCCCAAAAAGCCGGUCUCAGUUCGGAUUGGGGU